rnacentral:tRNA from 1 species
GUCGAGGUGGCGGAAUUGGCAGACGCGCACGUUUGAGGGGCGUGUGGGAUAACCGUACGGGUUCAAGUCCCGUCCUCGACACCA